rnacentral:rRNA from 1 species
AUUGAACGCUGGCGGCAGGCCUAACACAUGCAAGUCGAACGAGUGGCGGACGGGUGAGUAAUGUCUGGGAAACUGCCCGAUGGAGGGGGAUAACUACGGGAAACAGGUGCUAAUCCCGCAUACCAUCGGAUGUGCCCAGAUGGGAUUAGCUAGUAGGUGGGGUAAAGGCGCACCUAGGCGCCGAUCCCUAGCUGGUCUGAGAGGGUGACCAGCCACACUGGAACUGAGACACGGUCCAGACUCCUACGGGAGGCAGCAGUGGGGAAUAUUGCACAAUGGGCGCAAGCCUGAUGCAGCCAUGCCGCGUGGAUGAAGAAGGCCUUCGGGUUGUAAAGUACUUUCAGCGGGGAGGCGUUACCCGCAGAAGAAGCACCGGCUAACUCCGUGCCAGCAGCCGCGGUAAUUC